rnacentral:rRNA from 1 species
GACGAACGCUGGCGGCGUGCUUAACACAUGCAAGUCGAACGAAGUGGCGAACGGGUGAGUAACGCGUAAUCAACCUGCCCUUCAGAGGGGGACAACAGUUGGAAACGACUGCUAAUACCGCAUACUGAAGGAGGGGAUUGCGUCUGAUUCGCUAGUUGGAGGGGAAACGGCCCACCAGGGCGAUGAGCAGUAGCCGGUCUGAGAGGAUGAAUGGCAAGAUUGGGAACUAGACAAGGCCCAGACUCCUACGGGAGGCAGCAGUGGGGAAUCUUCCGCAAUGGACGAAAGUCUGACGGAGCAACGCCGCGUGAGUGAUGACGGCCUUCGGGUUGUAAAGCUCUGUUAAUCGGGACGCGGUACCGGAAUAGAAAGCCACGGCUAACUACGUGCCAGCAGCCGCGGUAAUAC